CAAUUUGUCUCCAUCUUCUCAUUUUAUUGUCAUUGAGACGUGAAUGUGUGAUGGUCUUACAGAGUGAUUACCUUUUCUUCUCUAACAUUCUAUAUAUAAUAUACAUGGUAUGAUAUCUUGCCCACCAUGAUCUUAAUCUCAAACAUCUUUUCAUUUUAAUCACAUAAAAAGAUGAAAAGUGAUGAAGGAGUUCAUCUCUAGGAGCAUCUCCUAUACUAUGUCAUCUCUUCUGAGAUCUUUAUCCAUCACAGAAAUGCCACUCAGUGUACACAAAUCUACCUUACUUCAUACUGAUAAAGACAUGGAAAGACUUUGGUCCACUCCUAGGUACACCACUUAUAAUCUACAUAACUUUAUCAGCUUUCUGCAUUUUCUUCAUAAUCCUAUCAUUCAUCCUGUAGCCCUCAAUGAGACACAAUGAUGAAGCACGUCCUUCCUUGGCCAGAUCCUGUCUAGGAUCUUGUACAUGAAAAUAUGAUUCACUGGAAUGUCUGCCAAUGUUCCAGCUAAACCCAUCCAUUGUGCCAUUAAAAUCAAGAAGUUGAUCAUAGUACAAACCAAAAAACUGGUUUUUUUCAGUUAAAGGGAAGGAUCUUUGUCAUUCUUAAAAUAUAAAUGCUGGUACUUUGGAUAACUGGUUUUUUUUAAUAUUUAUUUUUCAGUUUUCGGUGGACACAACAUCUUUAUUUUAUGUGGUGCUGAGGAUCGAACCCAGCACCCCGCACAUGCCAGGUGAGCUCAUUACCGCUUGAGCCACAUCUCCAGCCUGGAUAACUGUUUUUAUGAAAUAUAAAUAUAUUUGUCAGGUGAUGAGCAAGAAUACAAACAACAAAAUGAAUUAAUGUCAAUUUUCUGAGAGUAAAAAGCCACAUAUCAUUUACUUGUUCAUAAGUGAACAAACAGGAGAGAGAUUUUGUGAUCUAACACUGUAAAUAUUGUUGUGUAUUAUUAGACAAUAUUAAACAGCCUUCAAUCAAGUGGUUUGCAAGCUUAAUUCAGUAUAAUCCGCAGUAAAAAAAAAAAUACAACUUACAUCAGGCCAUAUACUUUUUCAUAUGUAUUUACAAGAAAAACAAAUACUAACAAGGUGCAGUAGUGCAUGCCUGUAAUCCCAACUACUUGGGAGGCCAAGGCAAGAAGAUAGCAAGUUUGAGGACAGCCUAGGCAACUUAGCAAGACCCUAUAUCAAAAUUAAAAAUAAAAAGUGCUGGGGUUAUAGUUCAGUGGUAGAGUGUCUCUGGGUUCAAUUUCUAGUACUCUCUCUCUCUCUCUCUCUCUCUCUCUAUAUAUAUAUAUAUAUAAUAGUAGGAGCAAAUGUGACUCCAUUUUGUUUUAUGACUUCAUCCUGUAAAACAACCAUGCCAAGUAGAAGAGUCAUGACUGGGUCAAGAUGUUCUUUUCCUUUUGCUAUAGAAACCUUUAAGAACACGGAACUACCUAAUGGGGUAUUGUUUCUGUAACUAGGGUAACAGGUUCUGUUUCUGUAACUGGGGUGACUAGGCUAACUGUGAUUGGUUAGGCUUCCCUCUGCUUGACUGCAUUGUCCCGCUUCUGUAACCUGGCUUGCUUGCAUUGGCUAGACCCCCCCCAACAUCCCUUUUGUGGUUUUCAGGCUUAGAAGGAGUGCCCUUGCAAUUGUUCGGGGCUGAUCAGGGGAACAGCUUUAUGUUCUGGUCAGCCGCCACCGGUGUGCUUCAAUAAAGGCUUGAUUCAAUUAUACGUGA
rnacentral:lncRNA from 1 species